GACGAACGCUGGCGGCGUGCUUAACACAUGCAAGUCGAACGGAAAGGCCCUGCUUUUGUGGGGUGCUCGAGUGGCGAACGGGUGAGUAACACGUGAGUAACCUGCCCUUGACUUUGGGAUAACUUCAGGAAACUGGGGCUCAUACCGGAUAGGAGCUCCUGCUGCAUGGUGGGGGUUGGAAAGAUUCGGCGGUUGGGGAUGGACUCGCGGCUUAUCAGCUUGUUGGUGGGGUAGUGGCUUACGAAGGCUUUGACGGGUAGCCGGCCUGAGAGGGUGACCGGCCACAUUGGGACUGAGAUACGGCCCAGACUCCUACGGGAGGCAGCAGGGGGGAAUAUUGCAGAAUGGGCGGAAGCCUGAUGCAGCAACGCCGCGUGCGGGAUGACGGCCUUCGGGUUGUAAACCGCUUUCGCCUGUGACGAAGCGUGAGUGACGGUAAUGGGUAAAGAAGCACCGGCUAACUACGUG
rnacentral:rRNA from 1 species